CACUUAACAGCUAGCUCAUAAACCAAACACAACAAGUCAUUAUUUAUACCCCCAAAUACACGAAUUUAAUUCAACAAACCAUUUUACCUCCUCAAGUAUAGGCGAUAGAAAAGGAAACAAAAGCAAUAGAAAAAGUACCGCAAGGGAAUGCUGAAAGAGAAAUGAAAUAAAUCAGUAAAGUUUAAAAAAGCAGAGAUUAAACCUCGUACCUUUUGCAUCAUGAUUUAGCUAGUAACCCCAAGCAAAGAGUCCUUUAGUUUGAUCCCCCGAAACUAAGUGAGCUACUCCAAGACAGCCUAUAAAUAGGGCACACCCGUCUCUGUGGCAAAAGAGUGGGAAGAGCUUUGAGUAGAGGUGAUAGACCUACCGAACUUAGUUAUAGCUGGUUGCCUAAGAAUUGAAUAUAAGUUCAGCCUCCUGGCUUCUUCUUUCCUCCACCUAACAAUUAUUUCUGAUGAAAAGAAACCAAGAGAGUUAGUUAAAAGGGGUACAGCCCUUUUAAAACAAAUACAACUUUUUAAGGUGGGUAUAGAUCAUAUUAAUAAAGGCAAAAUGUUUUAGUGGGCCUAAAAGCAGCCAUCUAAAAGAAAGCGUUAAAGCUCAAACAUCAUCCACCGCCUCCAAUUUCGAUAGACUAUCUUAACCCCCUCCACCUAUUAGGCCAUCUCAUGCACCCAUGAGAGAGAUUAUGCUAAUAUGAGUAAUAAGAGAACAAGAUUCUCUCCCCGCACACAUGUAACCCGGAACGAACACAUCACCGAAUAUUAUCGGCCCCAAAUAAAGAGGGCACUGAGCAACAAAUAAACAACCAGAAAAACACUCAACCAUAAACCGUUAACCCUACACUGGCGUGCUUGCAAGGAAAGAUUAAAUGAAAAAGAAGGAACUCGGCAUACACAAGCCUCGCCUGUUUACCAAAAACAUCGCCUCUUGCAAAUAAAGAAUAAGAGGUCCCGCCUGCCCUGUGACAGUUGUUUAACGGCCGCGGUAUUUUGACCGUGCAAAGGUAGCGCAAUCACUUGUCUUUUAAAUGAAGACCUGUAUGAAUGGCAUAACGAGGGCUUAACUGUCUCCUUUUUCAAAUCAAUGAAAUUGAUCUCUCCGUGCAGAAGCGGAGAUAUAACCAUAAGACGAGAAGACCCUAUGGAGCUUUAGACACCAAGGCAGAUCCCAUUAACCACCCAAUAAUAACGGACUAAACCAUGAGAAUCCUGCCCUACUGUCUUUGGUUGGGGCGACCGCGGGGAAACAAACAACCCCCAUGUGGAAUGAGAGAACUCCUCUCACAACCAAGAGUCACAGCUCUAAUUAGCAGAACAUCUGACCUUUAGAUCCGGCAAAGCCGAUCAACGGACCGAGUUACCCUAGGGAUAACAGCGCAAUCCUCUUUUAGAGCCCAUAUCGACAAGAGGGUUUACGACCUCGAUGUUGGAUCAGGACAUCCUAAUGGUGCAGCCGCUAUUAAGGGUUCGUUUGUUCAACGAUUAAAGUCCU
rnacentral:rRNA from 1 species